UCUGGCGACCAUAGUACGUGUGAACCACCUGAUCCCUUCCCGAACUCAGAAGUGAAACCAUAGUACGCCAAUGGUAGUGUGGCAUUCGCCAUGUGAGAGUAGGUCAUCGCCAGAC
rnacentral:rRNA from 2 species